rnacentral:rRNA from 1 species
GUAGGGGGCGAACGUUGUCCUGAUUUAUUGGGCGUAAAGAGCUCGUAGGCGGUUUGGUAAGUUGGAUGUGAAAUCUCCAGGCUCAACUUGGAGGGGUCAUUUGAUAAUGCCACGACUAGAGUUCCGUAAGGGAGUGUGGAAUUCCUGGUGGAGCGGUGAAAUGCGCAGAUAUCAGGAGGAACCCCGGUGGCGAAGGCGGGUCUUUGGGCCGUAACUGACGGUGAGGAGGGAAAGCGUGGGGAGCAAACAGGAUUAGAUACCCUGGUAGUUCCCGCCGUAAACGGUGGGUCCUAGGUGUAGGCGGUAUUCCACGCCGUCUGUGCCGCAGCUAACGCAUUAAGCACCCCGCCUGGGGAGUACGGCCGCAAGGCUA